CCCCUGUCCUGUUCACGCACUCUGCACACACACAUUGGGGCACAGGAUUGGUCACAGUCCAGCAGGAAAGGCAAAGAGAAGGGAGCUCCUCUCCACCCAGAGGAACGGGUCAGGGCUGAGGACGGCCUGAGGUUCAGCACCAAAGCUGAGGAAGAAAGGAUGUCCCUCUGCCACUGAGUUUUGGGUUUUCCUCUGAAAUACACCCCAGCUAUUGACAAGAGGCAGCUGAAACAACUCCCACAGAAGCAUCUCCUCACAGCCCCGUGGCACCUCCCAGGAACAGGAACCCUCAUCUGUGGAGAACAAAUCAGAACUGUCCCCCCCCAUGAACCUUCUCACUUUCAGAUUAGAAUCAAAAAUACCACACACCACACUUCCUAUUUCUAAACAUCAUCUGUGACUAUUUGCAAUGUAAAUAAUCUUCAGUAGGAAAAAUUGCUUAUCCUGCGCAAUAAUCCUUUGCUUCCCCUGGAGAAACUGGGUCUGGAUAUGGCCCUGACACUGCACAUGCAGAAAAUAAAUAAAUUUUUGUGCAGUAUCUUCAUUUGGGGGUGGAGAGAG